GACGAACGCUGGCGGCGUGCCUAAUACAUGCAAGUCGAGCGAAGAGUCUAGUACUUUGGUCCUAUGACAUUAUAGCGGGACGGGUGAGUAACACAUGUAUAGACUAUCUCUAAGACUCUGAUAGCAUUAGUGGACCGGACCUAUUACCGGAUAAUAUAUUGAACCACGUUGUUCAAAAGUUGAAUACGGUUUUUCGCUCACUAAUGGACUGAUCCGCGCCGCAUUAGCUAGUUGGUGAGGUAAAGGAUUACCAAGGCAACGAUGCGUAGCCGACCCGAGAGGGUGAUCGGACACACUGGAAGUGAGACACGGCACAGACUCCUACGGGAGGCAGCAGUAGGGAAUCUUACGCAAUGGGCGAAAGCUUGACGGAGCAACGCCGCGUGAGUGAUGAAGGAUUUAGGAUCGUAAAGCUAUGUUGUUAGGGAAGAACAAAUGUGUAAUCAACUAGGAAGUUAUUGACGGUACCUAAACAGAAAGCCACGGCUAACUACGUG
rnacentral:rRNA from 1 species